rnacentral:rRNA from 1 species
UACAGAGGUGGCGAGCGUUGUUCGGAAUUACUGGGCGUAAAGGGCGCGUAGGCGGUUUCGCAAGUCCCGUGUGAAAGCCCCCGGCUCAACUGGGGAAUUGCACGGGAAACUGCGAGGCUUGAGUUCGGGAGAGGGAAGCGGAAUUCCGGGUGUAGCGGUGAAAUGCGUAGAUAUCCGGAGGAACACCGGUGGCGAAGGCGGCUUCCUGGACCGACACUGACGCUGAGGCGCGAAAGCUAGGGGAGCAAACGGG